rnacentral:SRP_RNA from 1 species
GCUGGGCGCAAUGGUGCAUGCCUGUAGUCCCAGCUACUCGGGAGGCUGAGGUGGGAGGAUCGCUUGAGCCCCGGAGUUCUGGGCUAUAGUGAGCUAUGCUGAUUGGGAGUCCAGACUAAGUUCAGCAUCAAUAUGGUGACCUCCCGGGAGCAGGGGACCACCAGGUUGCCUAACGAGGGGUGAACUGGCCCAGGUUGGAAACAGAGCAGGUCAAAACUCCUGUGCUGAUCUGUAGUGGGAUUGCACCCAGCCACGGCACUCCAGCCUGGGCAACAUAGCGAGACUCGAUCUCU